GUCGUAAAGUCGGAUAUAAAACGUGACGAUUUUCUUCCGGUGUCCUUCUCAGCUUCAACCCGCCUGCGAGUGCUUGUGAGGAAGGCCGGCUUAAAAGGAGUUCUUGGGCAUCUCCAUGUUGUUUGAGGUGUGUAGUAACCAACAUAUGCAGUAUGGUUUCGGAUGAUAUUAAUGGUCCUGUGAAUGGACUGAGCAAUGAGGCUCCAGAGCACAGUGUGGGUGAAUAAUCCUGUGAAUUAAUGCAUAACAUGCAUAAUUUGUACCUGAGGAAGCUUGUCCUAAUGUCUGUAGGUGUGAUCUGAAGGAUGUCCACUAGAAGGCGCAGCACUCUUUUUGAUGUUUGGAAGUGUAUUAGAGGUGUGAUCUGAAGGAUGUCCACUAGAAGGCACACUACCCUUUUUUUGGUGACUUGACUGACUGUGUAGUAGAGGUCCCAUAUGACUAGAUUGAAGAAUGUUGGCAGCUGAUAGUUCUUGCAGUACUGCAAGAUGAAAAGUUUGGUGUUGGCGUAAAGGAUUUCCCAGCCAGACUUUUCUUGGAAGUUGGGGCUGGUGAGGAGGUCAUACUGCACAGGAAAUCUGUAAAACUUCUGCUUUGGGGAGUUUUGUGGUGUGGUUUUCAAUAAAUGAAAUAUAAAAGA